AUUGAACGCUGGCGGCAGGCCUAACACAUGCAAGUCGAACGAGUGGCAGACGGGUGAGUAAUGUCUGGGAAACUGCGCGAUGGGGGGGGAUAACUACUGGAAACGGUAGCUAAUACCGCAUACUAUCGGAUGUGCACAGAUGGGAUUAGCUAGUAGGUGGGGUAACGGCUCACAUAGGCGACGAUCCCUAGCUGGUCUGAGAGGAUGAACAGCCACACUGGAACGGAGACACGGUCCAGACUCCUACGGGAGGCAGCAGUGGGGAAUAUUGCACAAUGGGCGCAAGCCGGAUGCAGCCAUGCCGCGUGUAUGAAGAAGGCCUUCGGGUUGUAAAGUACUUUCAGUGAGGAGGCGUUACUCGCAGAAGAAGCACCGGCUAACUCCGUGCCAGCAGCCGCGGUAAUAC
rnacentral:rRNA from 1 species